rnacentral:lncRNA from 1 species
AGUAUGAUUUAUUUUGAAAUGAGAUUGAUUAUAUGGACAUUUAGGAGUUAUUGUUUAGUUUCGUUUUAAUUAAUAAAUUAUUUAGUUUUUAACUGAGAUGGUGGCUUUGGAUCAAUUUAAGGCCUUCCGUUUUCGGAGGUUCUUUCUCUGAAUUCGUGGCCGGUUGUUGCGGUUCAGAUCCGAGCAGUCGGAUCUGGGGCGUGACAGCUUUAGUGGUAUCAGAGCCUAGGUUAUUGACACCUUAGGGCAAAAUGACACCAUACUUAGGGAUUUAGGACGCGCGAGUGCGUGGGAUUCUUUUUGGACACGAGGCGAGUGUUUAGCAAAAUUUUAUGUCUUGAUUGUGUUCUGUUUUGUAGACGAUGCCUCGUUCUCGAAGGACUAUCACUUCGCAAGCUAAUGUACCUGUUGAUCGUAUUCCACCGGGGGAUCUACCGCCAGAGAACUCGCAACCAGAAGUAUCCUCGGCAAGAAAGCGACAAAGAAUGCCGCAUGACUCAUUACAAGAGAUGCUGAGUGUUAUUAAAACACAACAAGAUCAGAUGAUGGCCCUACAGGAAGAGAUUAGAGGCCUCAAGGCAAUGCAAAGUAGCGAUCCUCGAGGUGGAAAUAGCCUUAUUGAUUUUUAGAAGCUAAAUCCUCCUAUUUUUCGUGGGUCAACAGAUCCUCUAGAGGCGGAGUCUUGGCUCCAGGAGAUGGAGAAGGCCUUGACGCAUAUAGGCAUCGGAGGAGAGACACAGGUGACUUUCGCCACUAUAUGCUUCGAGAAGGGGCUUAUGAGUGGUGGAAGUCAGUUCGGGACAGACACAACGACAAGACACAAUCUUGGACAUGGAAGGAGUUUUGUAAGAUUUUCUAUGACAAGUACUUUCCAGAUAGUAUUCGUCGAGCUAAGAAGGCAGAGUUCGUACACUUGGAAUAGAGUAAUCGCACGGUUAUCGAGUACGAGCUCGAAUUUACUCGGUUAGAGCGCUUUGCUCCUAAAUUGGUGGAGUCCGAACUGGAGCGAGCUCGAAAAUUUGAGGAAGGUCUGAGGCCAGACAUUAGGCAACUGGUUGUUGGUUACGAGCUGCCGACUCUAAGAGAUGUUGUAAACAAGGCAUUGCUAUUAGAGAAAGAAUUACAAAGGACGCAGAGUGCACCGACUAUUUCUGGGCCAAGUCAAACUCAGGCCCCGCCUUCUCAGUCUUAAAGAUAUGAAGUGUGACUAUUGGAAUGGCGACACGAGACAAAAAGAUGGAGGUCGACCCCCACAAUCGCAACUUAAAGGUAUGAAGUGUGACUAUUGUGGCGGGCCGCAUCGUACAAAUAGAUGCAAGUGGGAGUCGGGCGCCUGUUCUGAGUGUGGUUCAUUUGAACAUAAAAUUGCCAACUGCCCAGUCAAGAAACAAAAGCGAGAUGCAAACCACCAGCAAGGUGCGGGAGCAUCAACAAGCGGGAUGACCCCACAGGGUCCGCAUGUGCAAAGGUCGAUACAAAACUGGAGAGACUCGAGUUGCUCGGGUCAGACAAGCCAAGCACGAGCUUAUGCUAUGACACAGCAGGAUGGAUCAGGAGGCGCGGACGUCCUGAUAGGUAUAUUACAUUUCUCAGCCAUUUAUGCAUAUACCUUAUUUGAUUCUGGUGCCACGCAUUCUUUCAUAUCUAGUAAGGUUGUCUUAGAUUAUAGUUUGACAUAUUUACCGUUGGGUUGUGAUUUGUGGGUUGACAUGCCUGUGGGAGGUGUUAGGGUUUGCUGAGUGUGCAAAUCUUGUCCAAUAGAAGUCAACGGUCAUGUGUUGCCAGCUGACUUAUCGUCAUCGAUAUGAAAGAGUUCGAUGUCAUCCUCAGGAUGGAUUGGCUAACAGCCCAUGGAGCCACUAUCGAUUGCUCUGGUCGAAAAGUGGUGUUUCGUACUUCCUACGGAUCAGAGUUUAUCUUUGUCGGUGAUCGAAGCCGCUCUCCCCCGAGAAUCAUCUCAGCCUUGAAGGCUACUAAAAUGCUGCGGAGCGGGCGCUUCGCUAUCUUAGCGUACGUGGUGGACUCACAGAAUGAGCAGCUAAAGCUUAGGGAGAUUCCAGUUGUAAGGGAGUUUCCGGAUGUUUUCCCAACUGAUUUGCCGGGGCUACCGCCGGAUCGAGAGAUCGAGUUUACGAUUGAUUUGGCUCCGGGUGCGGAACCUAUCUCUAAAGCCCCGUAUAGGAUGGCUGCCGCAGAGUUGCGGGAAUUGAAAGACCAGUUACAAGAGCUGCUGGAUAAAGGUUUUAUUCGACCGAGUGUUUCGCCAUGGGAUGCGCCAGUUUUGUUCGUGAAGAAAAAGGAUGGAAGUCUGCGACUGUGUAUUGACUAUAGAGAGUUGAAUAGAAUCACAGUGAAGAACAAAUAUCCUCUACCUCGUAUUGAUGACUUAUUCGACCAACUACAAGGAUCCCAGAUUUUCUCAAAAAUCGACUUGCAGUCGGGCUACCAUCAGCUGAAGAUCAGGGCUGAGGAUAUUCCUAAGACGGCAUUUAGGACACGCUAUGGGCAUUAUGAGUUUCUUGUUAUGCCGUUCGGGUUGACAAAUGCUCCGGCCGCAUUUAUGGACCUAAUGAAUCGGAUUUUCAAGCCUUAUCUAGACUAGUUUGUGGUGGUGUUUAUUGAUGACAUUCUUAUUUACUCGUGGAGUGCAGAGCAACACGAACAACACCUGAGAUUAGUGCUCCAGAUCCUACAAGACAGGAAACUUUAUGCUAAACUAAAGAAAUGUGACUUCUGGUUGGAAGAGGUCUCUUUCUUGGGGCAUGUCGUGUCCAAGGAUGGUAUCGUGGUUGAUAAAAGAAAGGUCAAAGCUGUGCAGGCAUGGCCGAGGCCUACGAGUGCUACCGAGAUUCGUAGCUUUCUAGGCCUAGCUGGCUAUUAUCGACGGUUCAUAGAGUGGUUCUCUCGAAUCGCGGUCCCUUUGACGCAAUUGACGCAAAAAAGAGCGAAAUUUGUGUGGACCGAUGAGUGCGAGGAGAACUUUCAAGAGCUGAAGCGACGGUUGAUCACGGCUCCUGUCUUGGCACUUCCUGUGUGGUGAAGGCUUCACUGUUUAUGGUGAUGCAUCCCUACGAGGUUUAGGGUGUGUCUUGAUGCAAAAUGAUCGAGUGAUUGCUUAUGCUUCUAGACAGCUAAAGCCAUACGAGCAAAACUACCUUACUCAUGACCUAGAGCUUGCCGCAGUAGUGUUUGCUCUUAAGAUUUGGCGUCAUUAUCUUUAAGGAGAGCAAUAUGAGUUCUACACCGAUCAUAAAAGCUUAAAAUAUCUUUUCACACAGAAAGAGCUAAAUAUGCGACAGCGUAGAUGGCUUGAGCUUAUGAAGGAUUAUGACUUGACAAUCUUAUAUCAUCCCGAGAAAGCGAAUGUGGUAGUGGAUACACUAAGCCGCAAGGCCACGGGAAAUUUGGCUACACUGAUUAGUGAGCAAAAGUAUCUUUUAGAGGAUCUACGAAAGAUAGACUUAGAGGUGACUAUUCACGAGCCGGGAGCUCGAUUGGCUCAACUUCGAAUUCGACCCACAUUAUUGGAUGAAAUUAAGUUAUCCCAGUCAUCCGAUGCCGCUCUUCAGAAGAUCCGAGCGGCCGUGGGGGCAGGUUCUGAGAUAGAAUUUCAUAUCCACGAGGAUGGAUCGUAAAGGUACAGUAAUCGACUAUGUGUUACCAACGAUGAGGCCUUAAAGAGAAAAAUCUUGGAGGAGGCUCAUUCGUCAGCUUACACCAUACAUCCGGGUAGCACAAAGAUAUAUCGUGACAUAAGAGAGAUUUUCUGGUGGGCCGGCAUGAAACGAGACAUUGCUCGAUUUGCUUCACAGUGCCUUGUAUGCCAGCGGGUCAAAGCUGAGCACCAGAGGACGGCGGGAUUAUUGCAGCCAUUGCCGAUACCCGAGUGGAAAUGGGAGAAGAUUACUAUGGAUUUUGUGGUAGGGUUACCACGUACACAGUCAGGGUCCAAUGCGAUUUGGGUGGUCGUCGACCGGCUGACUAAGUCUGCGCACUUCAUACCUAUUAAUGUGAGCUAUCCUUUGGAGAAACUUGCGGAAUUAUAUAUCAAAGAUGUGGUGAGACUGCAUGGUGUCUCGAUAUCCAUCGUUUCGGAUCGAGAUCCGCAAUUCGUGUCGCGAUUUUGGCAUAGCUUGCAUGAGGCUUUGGGGACUCGCUUGGAUAUGAGUACGGCAUAUCAUCCGCAGAGCGAUGGUUAGUCAGAGCGCACGAUACAGAUCUUAGAAGAUAUGUUGCGAGCAUGCGUGAUUGACUGGGGUGGGUCGUGGGACCGGCACUUACCAUUGGCGGAGUUUGCGUACAAUAAUAGUUAUCAAGCCAGCAUACAGAUGCCCCCUUUUGAAGCUCUCUAUGGAAGAAAGUGUAGAUCGCCUAUCCACUGGGAUGAUGUUGGCGAGAGGCAGAUUCUAGGGCCUGAGCUGGUCCAACAAGCUAAUGAAAAAGUGCGGGUUGUGCGAGAACGUCUACGAGCCGCACAGAAUAGACAGAAGAGCUAUAGUGAUAAUCGUCGGCGAAUGUUAGAAUUCACAGUUGGUGAUCACGUGUUCCUGAAGGUGUCGCCAACCAAGGGGGUAAUACGGUUUGGGCUUCGAGGAAAGCUGAAUCCGCGUUACAUUGGACCUUUUGAAAUACUGGAACGAGUCAACAAUGUGGCAUACCGAAUAGCAUUACCACCUUCUAUUGUUGGGGUGCAUAAUGUGUUCCAUGUGUCGAUGCUGCGAAAGUAUGUUCAAGAUCCAAAACACGUCAUCGACUAUUCUCCAAUUCAGCUGAGAGAGAACCUAUCAUACGAGAAGCAGCCUAUUCGGAUCUUGGAUCGAAGGGAAAAGGUUUUGCGAAAAGGGACGGUUCUGCUGGUAUGUGUGCUGUGGAGGCAUCAUGCGGAGAAUGAGGCGACGUGGGAGCCGGAAGAGGAGAUACGGAGCAAGUAUCCUCAGCUCUUUCCAGAUUCUGUUAAGUAAAUUUCGGGGACGAAAUUUCUUUUAAGGGGGGUAAGAUGUAAUACCCGUAUCUAAUUAAUUUAAAUUAGAAUUUAAAUAUGUGGCCAUGAUUGUAGUUUUGUGAUAAACCCGUUAUUAAAUAUUUUUGAUUUAUUUGUACCGUCGGAUUAAGCAAAUUCGGUUGGAUUUGAUUUUUAGAUUAAUUAUACUCUAAUACUAGUCAGAGUAGGAUUGAGAUUUAGCCCUAAUUAAUCACCUAUAAAUAGAUAAUUUAGGGAGGGUGUACGGCCAAAAAAAAUAUUAUAAUAAUAAAUAUUGUUGCCGGAUUCUUUGUGCAAGCGUGGCCGCCGGCGGGAGCAAGAUCUGACAAUCGUGGGGGAGAGGAAAAAGAACGAGAGCGAGGUGAGUCUCCAAUAAUUAGUUUUCUCGUUUUUUUCUCUCUUUUCUUUCUUCUUCUAUCUCCCAAUCUUAUCCUCUCUCCUCGUUGUACCGCCGCCGCCAUCGCCGGAGUGGUCGCCGGCCACCUACGGACGGGUUGGGGUGAACCCCGUAUGGGGUAACCAUGGUUGGCCAUGAGAGGGGUAUGAGACAGCUUCUUUGUUUGAGUUGGGAAGAAGAAGAGAGGAGAUGGGAUUAUUUUGGAUCUGGCUAGACCCGGUUCACGGUGGACCACGUUAACUUUUGCAUGGUUUAUUUUUACAUUUAGGUUUCAAUUUAUCGUAAUGAUAUUAGACGUGAUUAAGUUGUUAAUUAGAGUGUUUUGCUUCUAUCGGUUGAAUUAUAUUUAAUUGGAAAAGCUUCUGGUGCACAUUGCUGAUGCUGGAUAGGGUGCAGCGAAAUUUUGGUGUGUAUAAUGGCUUAAAAGAUCAGCCAGGGAGCAAUCUGUAAAUAUCAGUUUUGGUUUUGGGGACUGAUCCGUAAAAGAGGUAGAACUUUUUGUUCGUAAGGCGGAAUUUUGCGAUUCAAGCGCUAUAGGACUCGUCUUGAAAUUCGGAUAAGAUCGUGCGGUCUAAUUAUCCUGAUUUAAUGUAUAAUUUUCGCAGAACUUUUUUAAUAGUUAAAGGGCUUGUUUGAAAAUAUAUUUUAUUUGGGUCUUUUCGUCGUUGUAGGUGCUGAGACGGCCGUAAAACCUCAAUCUUAGAACGUGACGAAUUUGUGAGCACUAAUAGAGGCAAGUAAAUAACUACUUUCUGCAAACGGUAGAAAAUAUGCGGAUCAGAGUGGGUUCGGGAUAUAAUUAUUAUCUGUUUUGUUUACUAAUUGUUAAUACAUCCGAGUGGAUUUUAUAGUUAUUAUUGACAGACAUGGUUUAUUUAUUUUGCACAUUAUUAUUCUCAUGUUCUAUUAUUGGAUAUGACUGUUGCGGUCGGAUUCCUCGGAUGAGAGGGAUUUAUCCGGUACGCAGUUUCCGAAGAGAAAUGGCGCGAAAUUGUACCUCUCGCGGUUAGAGCGACGGAGUGGAAAUGCUCUAAAUUAUAACCUUUGUGGUUUCAAAUUUAAAUUAUCGUUAUUCUUGAAGUAGAUUUCUUAUUAAGCAUUGCGCUUACUUUUGUUGUCUACUGUUUUAGGUACCGAGAGUCGGGGCGUAUGAGAUAAUUGGCCAGCGAGAACUCGUUAGAUAGAUUUCAAAUUUUGGACAUAUGAUUUAUUUUGACAUGAGAUUGAUUAUAUGGACAUUUAGGAGUUAUUGUUUAGUUUCGUUUUAAUUAAUAAAUUAUUUAGGUUUUAACUGAGAUGGUGGCUUUGGAUCAAUUUAAGGCCUUCCGUUUUCGGAGGUUCUUUUUCUGAAUUCGUGGCCGGUUGUUGCGGUUCAGAUCCGAGCAGUCGGAUCUGGGGCGUGACAAAAAGUGUGUUUUUUGUUUGGAAUUACCGGAAACUGCUGAUCAUUUAUUCGCAAGCUGU